GGAAAAAUCUUUACAUCAGUCUACUGUUGGCUGCAGCCGCAAUACACAUGACGUGUCAAACCGGACUGGGUUCAAUGAACCAGUUUCUUGCCCCAGCCCCAGUCCCCGAAGCCCUCAGUCAGUCUCGAAUUCGAAAAUGUGCUUCGACGAAAACCCCAAACUGCUUCUGGGUUUCAACCCUCAAUCCCCUCACGCUUCUAAUCCAACUUCUUCACUAUAAAUCUCUCAACUUUCCACACAAAACCUUGAACCUUCUUCUUCUUCUCUGUGAAUCACAAAAAAUCUCUUGACGAUUUCGAAAACUCCAAAUUCUCUAAGUCUUCUGCUUAUCAAUCACGGAAUACAUUUUCGAGAAGACCUUCUUCUUCUUUUUCUUCUUCUCUGUAACUCUCUCAGUCCCAUCACGUGUAUUGUGAUUUCCCCCUCAAAAUCUAAAGCUCUCUCAAACCCGUGCUUCAUCUCCCCCCUCCCUUCAUCCUCAUCGCUCAUCCCCGUGAUUUCCCCAUCGGCUCAUCCUCUGAUCCUUUGUUCCAGAUCUGCGACGAGAGGAUUCCACACCAUGAUGAAGUAAAGAGCCCACCAAAUCUGCAGCUAGAAACAUGUAAUGUAUCGACAAAUCCAUUAAUGUUCUUCAAAUUUUACCUCCUUUUUCCGUGUGAUUCUAUGUUUGCACUGUACAUGUGUUUGGCUCUGGGGUUCUAGGGUUUAAUGUUCUUCAAAUCUGGGUGAAAUCUUACAUUGAGGAGGCCUUUAACAAGUACAAUGAAGGAAGUUUAGUGGAAUUGGUGGAUCCUUUGAUGGAGGAAGUCAUUGAUUCAGAGGUACUUAUGAAAAUGUUUUCUUCCACUGUGCGGCACCGAUUUGGGCCGAUUGCCCAGAUGUGAAAUUAGUGGGAGAACAAUUGUGGGCAAUAAGGGCAGACUAUCUUAAGAGUGCAAGGAGAGUUCAUUGACUGCAAUUUGGGAGUUUUCAUUUGUAAAUCAAUUGAACAAAUCAAUUUGGGAGUUGCAGAUUUUUCCUUUGAACAAAUCUUACUUCUUUUGUUCUUUGCUUUAUUCUUAAUUCUUGAACGCAUAUGAAGAUGUUUAUUGUUUUUCAACUUCUCAUCUCAAAGCAGUGCCUCAUUAUGACAAGCAUAAAAAGGAAAUGCAACUAGAACAUUUGCUUCUU